rnacentral:rRNA from 1 species
AGAGUUUGAUCAUGGCUCAGAUUGAACGCUGGCGGCAGGCCUAACACACGCAAGUCGAGCGGAUGACGGGAGCUUGCUCCUGGAUUCAGCGGCGGACGGGUGAGUAAUGCCUAGGAAUCUGCCUGGUAGUGGGGGACAACGUUUCGAAAGGAACGCUAAUACCGCAUACGUCCUACGGGAGAAAGCAGGGGACCUUCGGGCCUUGCGCUAUCAGAUGAGCCUAGGUCGGAUUAGCUUGUUGGUGAGGUAAUGGCUCACCAAGGCGACGAUCCGUAACUGGUCUGAGAGGAUGAUCAGUCACACUGGAACUGAGACACGGUCCAGACUCCUACGGGAGGCAGC